GUUGGGGGUUAUGCUGACGAAGCGGAGCCGGCAGCGCCAGGAUGGUGCUGCUGGAGAGUGAGCAGGUAUAGCCAGAGCGGGCCGGCUGAGGGACCGAUACUGUUGUUCCUGACGGAGCUGACCAGGCUCUUCCAGAAGUGCCGGUUGUCGGGCAGCGUGUUCAUCACCCUGAAGAAGUAUGAUGGUCGAACUAAACCCAUUCCAAGGAAAGGUCCUGUGGAGGGCUUUGAGCCCUCAGACAACAAGUGUCUGUUAAGAGCUACUGAUGGGAAGAAGAAGAUCAGCACUGUGGUGAGUUGGAUUCCUAAUACUCCUAAUUUUGGAGCUUUAAUACUUGAACUUAACUGAGGUUGGGGUAUAUCUGAACCAGGUUUUGUUUUUAGGUUUUAGUUCUUAAAUGAAGCCUAGUGUGUAGCUCCCCUAGGUUUUGGGAUCAGGGUCUUCUUUUAUUUCCUUAGUAAUAGAAAACCCAAGAGCAAAAUUAACAUGAAGAAGGUAGGAGUCAAACACUUCUUAGAAAUAAAAUUAACAUAUUGGUCCUUACUCAAGAGUAGCACUGUAAGAAGCAGUUGGCAUGUUUGAUUCCUUAUUCCCUUACUGUGCUGGGCCUUCAGUGAAGUUUCUUGGUAUCAGAUGCUUUUACUUCUUCUUCUUUUUUUUUUUUAGAUGCUUUUACUUCUAAGCUGAUUAUUCUUUUAUCUUUGUGGUUCAUGUACCAAACACCUAUUACAUUAGGCUUUGUAUUUGAGAGUGUAUAAUUUAGUCAAGGGUCCUAGUGUUCCCUUUCAAAGUGGAGGGUGAAUGCCACAAAGCAAGAGACUCCUUGGAUUCCAAACGAAAACUUCUUUAUUCUGCUGGGGCAGAACCAGACUGCCCUCUAAUCACAUCAGCAUAGGAUAUUCAUGAGAAUGUAGGCCAUAAUUAGUUGAUAAGUCUCUCAUUACCAGUUAUCUUAAGAAGACUUUUAUUACAGUAAAGCAAAUUUACGUGGCUUUUAAAAAUAAAGUUGGGUGUCAUGAAAUACAGAAAACUAAGGAAUCUUCAGAGGUAAAAUUUCUCGUUGUGUAGCUUGCAUUUUGCUUAAAUGGGCCUGAAUUAAUGGUAGGUUUAAAUAAGAUGAGGUGGGAGUAAUUUAAAUGUAUCUUGCAUAAAAGCUAAUACUAAGUCCUUUGACAUCUCUCAGAACCCUUAGAAAAAGUCAGUGCCAUGUGUAAGAGAUUUCAACAGAGGCGAGAAGCAUAGCUUGUUACGGAGCCCACUUCUGCUUCUUUCCUGUUUUGGUACAAUUCUCAAAGUGCAGAGCUACUGUGCUUGUCCCUCAGGCAGAGGAAAGUGGAGUAGAAAAAUAGCUUUUAGUGUAUUAUGAUCCCUGCAAUUGGGAAGAAAUAUUUUUAAAGACUAGGAUUUGUUUUCAUGAGGCUUUUGAGUUAUUGGGUGAGGCCCAUGAUUCCUGUGUGGAUAAUGGGUGACCUUUUCCCCCUUCUUUUCCAGGUGAGCUCCAAGGAAGUGAAUAAGUUUCAAAUGGCUUAUUCAAACCUACUGAGAGCUAACAUGGAUGGCCUGAAGAAGAGGGACAAAAAGAGCAAGAGUAAGAAGAGCAAAGCAGCGCAGUGAAGGGCACCAGAUUUCUCGCUUUCACCAACUAACCACUGAAUUGCUAUUUUUCCUUUGGUUUUUACUUUUGGCCACAAGGCUGGGUUUCUGAUUUCCCUACAAUAACUGUUUUCAUGUGAGAUUAGGGUCAUUUUUGGAUGGAAGAAGGGCUGCAGUGUUUACAGGGUAGUUAUAAGACGCCAGUUUGUUUUAGAUCUGGCUAAGCGGUCUGUGUUGUAUGGUUGUAUAUUCCUGGAUAAUAGUUUAUAGUCUCUGUAGCCAUCUGUGAAGAGCACUGUAUCAUUAAACCUGUAUUUAUCAGCACUGACCAUCUUUUAUUCCUUUUCCUACCCCGUAAAAAGUUUCUGGCAAUAGCUCCUCAUUCUGGAAUGAUAGGCUUUCGGCCCUGUCUUACAGGUUACUAGAAUUGAAACCUGACAAUUUUAUAAAAAGUUAUUUCAUGGGUAUUUUUCCCAACUGGCUGUAUAAUUUUAUCAUCAUAGUUCCUUUAGCAAAUUUGAACGAGUUCUUGUAGCCAAAUGAGAGUUUGCUUAACCAAACUGAGGAUAAGAUCAUUACAAAAUCAAGAAUAAAGAUUCCAAGUUAAUGAUGA